GGCACUGUGGCGGAGUGGUUAACGCGACAGAUUCGAAUUACCGCAAGUUAUCUGUUCCACUUGUUGGGCACAUGUUUGAAUCAUGCCAGUGUCG